rnacentral:lncRNA from 1 species
CAUCCUUUGUUUUGAUGAGAACUCCACAAGCCAGUGAGGGAUGUGAGAUUUCUUGAUGGUGAGAGGCUCGUAGGUUUCCACAACACCACCAUCAGUACUUGAGCGUAGCUAUGAAAGGAAAAGAUACACACACACACACACACGAGAUGCUUACUUAUUCAAGCAACAUGAUCAAGAAGAAAAAUGGUGGGUGGUGGUCCUACGAAGCAUAAUAUAUAUAGUUGUGUUGAGGCUAUUUGCGAAUUUUGUAAUAAAAUGGUAUGAUAGGAGGGUGGCUGAUCA